UCUACUGCACCCAUAACUAAAGAUUCAUAUUGUACAUUACAGCUUUUCCAUGGCAGGCAAGCAACAAGGGGUGAAAUUAUGCAGAAACUACAUUGUCCAUUGUCUCUGAAAGAGUUUCCAUUACGGCUGGAAUACACUGACCUGUGACCACUCUGUUCUGUGCAGUCUAAGGUGGUGGAGAAAAAGGAAUCUGCCUUCAAAAUCUGGAAAAGCCAGUGUGAGAGGCAGGAAAAAUGGAGUAGGUUGGGUGAACAAGAUGUGCUCCU
rnacentral:lncRNA from 1 species